rnacentral:lncRNA from 1 species
GCACAGCAACCAUAAUUUUAUGAUAUCUGAUAUGGCACUGAAGACUUUCCUUCAGCAAUUACCAGUUUGAGGCAAUGCAAACUCCUAUCAUGUAAGACGUUCGCUUGCACGCUUUCCAUCACUGGUCAUUUCAAGAUGCACCUUCUUUCACUGUCCCAAGAGCUCAGAUUUCAUUCCUGAUGGCUGGAAACUUAGAUAUCGGCUGUCCCUCAAAGGCAUUGGUUACAACUUGUUUGUAAGCAGACAGCUGUCAAUUGCACGAGAGCUUUCUGUGAAAGAGACAAUAUCUUUCUGAACACCUGAACUCCAUCAGGAAUCAAACAGAAGGCCAAGAAAGGCCCGGAGUCAAAGGGCUUCUGGUGCUGAAUUCACAGCUUCGCCCCAGACUCUGCUCUGACUUGCUGCAAUUGCCAGGAAGUCGGGAGGGGAGUGUGUCCCAGAGAGUGCAGGAAGGCAGAGCUUCUGCUGCCUUGUGUCACCAUGCUCACAGUAAAAGAGAAAAGAGGAGGCCAGCUUUACUCUGCUAG